rnacentral:rRNA from 1 species
GGUGGACGCGGGCGGCGUGCCGAAGACAUGCAAUUCGAUCGAACAGACGAUGAGCUUGAUCCUGAGUCGUUAGCGGCGGAGGGGUGAGUGGCACGUGGGUAACCUCUCUGUAAGACGGGGAUAACGGCGGGAAACCGGAGCUAAUACCGGUUAAAGAUUGCAACCGCAUGGUUGAAUAUUAAAAGGCGGUUUGGCUGUCAAUUCUUGAUGGAACCGCACCCCAUUAGCUAGUUGGUAAGGUCACGACUUACCAAGGCAACGAUGCGUAGCCGACCUGAGAGGUUGAUCAGCCACCCUGGCCCUGAGACACAGUCCAGACUCCUACGUGACGCAGCAGUCGGGAAUCUUCAGCAAUGGGCUAAAGCCUGACGGAGCAACACCGCCCGAGUGAUGCCGGUCUUCGGAUCGAAAAACUCUGUUACCAGGGACGAACACCUGUGUAAGUAAAUCUGCACGUCCUGACGGUCCAUAAUCAAAGAGCCACGGCUCACCACGCG